rnacentral:rRNA from 1 species
AGAGAGAGACAUGCGCGCAUAUCAAUAAGCGGAGGAAAAGAAACUAACAAGGAUUCCCUUAGUAACGGCGAGUGAAGCGGGAAGAGCUCAAAUUUGAAAUCUUCAAGGUUUUACCUUGACGAAUUGUAGUUUAAAGAAGUGUUCUCUGCUGAAGUUUUGGUAAAAGUUCUUUGGAAUAGGACAUCAUAGAGGGUGAGAAUCCCGUAUUUGACCAUUAUUUUCAGCUUUGUGAUACACUUUCAAAGAGUCGGAUUGUUUGGGAAUGCAGUCCAAAAUGGGUGGUAAAUUUCAUCUAAAGCUAAAUAUUGGCGAGAGACCGAUAGCGAACAAGUACCGUGAGGGAAAGAUGAAAAGAACUUUGAAAAGAGAGUUAAACAGUACGUGAAAUUGUCAAAAGGGAAGCGUUUGACACUAGUGUUGCUUUCUCGAAAAUCAAUUAAAAAUGGCUCGAUUUUGUAUUGCUGAGACCUUAAAAGCUCACUGUACAUUUUUCGUGUCUUUUUUAAUGCACUUUUCGUUUAACAAGUCAACAUCAGUUUCUUUUGUUGUAAAAGGGUCAUUGGAAGGUGGCUUUCUUUUCGGAGAAAGUGUUUAUAGCCUUUGGCCUCUGCAAUCGGAGAGACUGAGGUCUGCAGCGUAGACUCUUCGGGGUUAGAUACAUUUGUGCUAAGUUAUAGCCUUUUCAUAGACAACUUGUUGACUAUAAUCAGUCAUGUAGCUUACUCGCUUAUGCUAUUUACCUACGCUUAGGAUGUUGAAGAUGUAGCACAUCAU